rnacentral:rRNA from 1 species
AGAGUUUGAUCCUGGCUCAGAACGAACGCUGGCGGCGUGGAUAAGACAUGCAAGUCGAACGCUGACUUCAGGGUAGCAAUAUUCUGGAGUCGGAGUGGCGCAAGGGUGCGUAACACGUGGGUAAUUUGCCGUGAAGCCCGGAAUAACUCGCUGAAAGGCGAGCUAAUACCGGAUGUGACUUCUGGGGGGCAUCCUCUGGAAUUCAAAGCUGGGGACCGCAAGGCCUGGCACUUCAUGAUAAGCCCGCGGCCUAUCAGCUAGUUGGUGAGGUAACGGCUCACCAAGGCUAAGACGGGUAGCUGGUCUGAGAGGACGACCAGCCUCACUGGAACUGAGACACGGUCCAGACACCUACGGGUGGCAGCAGUCGAGAAUUUUUCUCAAUGGGCGAAAGCCUGAAGGAGCGACGCCGCGUGGGGGAUGAAUGGCUUCGGCCCGUAAACCCCUGUCAUUUGCGAUCAAACCCUGUUAUUUAAAAGAUGACGGGCUGAUAGUAGCGAAAGAGGAAGGGACGGCUAACUCUGUGCCAGCAGCCGCGGUAAUACAGAGGUCCCAAGCGUUGUUCGGAUUCACUGGGCGUAAAGGGUGCGUAGGCGGCCGGGUAAGUCUGCUGUGAAAUCCCGCAGCUCAACUGCGGAACUGCAUUGGAUACUAUCCGGCUAGAGGAAUGGAGGGGAGACUGGAAUUCUCGGUGUAGCAGUGAAAUGCGUAGAUAUCGAGAGGAACACCAGUGGCGAAGGCGAGUCUCUGGACAUUUCCUGACGCUGAGGCACGAAAGCCAGGGGAGCAAACGGGAUUAG